GUGAAGCGCAAUACAAGAUGCUGUUUCCAGUUAGCAUCUCUAGCCUCUCCUACUCAAUUCCUAUCCUCACCUCCACGAAGUGCGGCUUAGGCUGCACGGGUGAACCCUGGAGAACCUGAGCAACCUUACCGGAGAUUGGGUAACCAACCACAGUGGAAAGUAGGGUCAGGGCUGACGAGGAAGGGAGAAAUGGUCCUCCGAAAAGGGGGUUGGGCGAUAUGCCAGUAACCUAUUCUUGUAAAAAAGUACUACUACUGUUUAAUAUUUAAUAUUCCGAUAACUAAUCGAAUAAAGGAUUACAGAUUACGACCAUAGAAAAAAGUGUUGUGUGAUUUGGUAGAAUGCGAUCUUAUCCUUCAAAAAAUAUGUCACGUAUUUCAGCACCUGGAAAAUUGGAAGGAUACUACAAAUCUGGCCUCCACAUAAGUGGUCUGUAGCUUCGACAUGGUAGGUGUGAAAUUUUAAACGUUCUUGCUGUUGAUUGGAUAGGAAUGGUAGCGUUAUCUAGCCUCCACGCUAGGUACACCAUAGCCUCCAUACGGUACUUCCAAUAUUUAAUAUUAUUUUAUUCAAGUGGACAAUAAAGGUAAAACACAAACAACUUUUGUUUCUUAAUUAUUUAUUUAUACAAUAAUGUGACAUUUUACAUAGAAAUAUGAGUAUUUAAUUUCGAUUAAAUAUAUGUUUACUUGUUGAAUUUAUCGGCUGCACACAACAGCUGAUCGGCCAUUAGACCCAACAACAAAACGCGAAAUAAAAUGUGUAUUUUAAAACUGUUGGAUAAACAGUACCUACAAUCAGAAAAACUUACCUUUAAAAAGGUACUCGAUUAUGAAAUAACAAAAAUAUCAAAAAACACGACUGAAUAUCAGCUUUUUAUGGUGACACAAACUAAACACAAACACCAAACACAUCAACAUCACAUAACCGACCAUAUAAAAUAA